UACGUAGGCAGCAAGCGUUGUUCGGAGUUACUGGGCGUAAAGGGUGUGUAGGCGGUUGUUUAAGUUUGGUGUGAAAUCUACCGGCUCAACUGGGAGGGUGCGCCGAAUACUGAAUGACUUCGAGUGCGGGAGAGGAAAGUGGAAUUCCUGGUGUAGCGGUGAAAUGCGUAGAUAUCAGGAGGAACACCGGUGGUGUAGACGGCUUUCUGGACCGUAACUGACGCUGAGACACGAAAGCGUGGGUAGCAAACAGG
rnacentral:rRNA from 1 species